UGAGGAAUAUUGGUCAAUGGACGCAAGUCUGAACCAGCCAAGUAGCGUGCAGGAUGACGGCCCUAUGGGUUGUAAAUUGCUUUUAUAUGGGGAUAAAGUGGGGAACGUGUUCCCUUUUGCAGGUACCAUAUGAAUAAGGACCGGCUAAUUCCGUGCCAGCAGCCGCGGUAAUACGGAAGGUUCGGGCGUUAUCCGGAUUUAUUGGGUUUAAAGGGAGCGUAGGCCGUUUGGUAAGCUUGUUGUGAAAUGUAGGAGCUCAACUUCUAGAUUGCAGCGCGAACUGUCAGACUGGAGUGCGCACAACGUAGGCGGAAUUCAUGGUGUAGCGGUGAAAUGCUUAGAUAUCAUGAAGAACUCCGAUUGCGAAGGCAGCUUACGGGAGCGCAACUGACGCUGAAGCUCGAAGGUGCGGGUAUCGAACAGG
rnacentral:rRNA from 1 species